rnacentral:misc_RNA from 1 species
AUAAGUGGCAAACAGAACUCACAGGACCAACCGCAAGGGAGAAAAUCUAGAAUCCAGAUCCUUAGUUCUCACACUGUAGUGUAGAAAACUAGAAAUCGCCAUUGAAGUGCAAGCACCAAGCAAGCGGAUUCCCCAGUCCUUGCUUCCUAUUCGCAGUUACUCUCGAUCGCUUGAAGCUGCACCAUCCAAACAAAGAGAACAUUGAAGAAAAAUGCCUUACCGGAGAAUAAUGGAGGUGGAGCCGCCGAGUCCGUUAAGAUACAUAAUUGGGGCAGCGAUAAUGAUUAUAGGAGUGGUUUUACCUGUCGGUUACAUGAUGUUUCGUACCAAGCGUGUCCCUUCUUCUUCCUCUUACUCGAAACAGACGUAGGUGUGCCUUUGGCUAUUUCCUUUCUUUGUUCUUCUAAUGUAAUACUAUUUUUCUUUAAUAUGUUCUAAUUUUCCCUGUGAAAUCUGUGAUGCUUGUUCUGUUUCUUUGGAUUAGAGAUCAAAUCAAAUGAUAGGUAUGGUUACUUAAUGUGCUAAUUAAUUGUGAAUUACUCGUUAAUUAGCUAAAGAUGGGUAUUUUCUCCUUCAGAUUUGAACUCUGGUAUUAGUAGAGCUUCAUCAGUGAUUAAUUCUUCGUAAAGGCGGAGGCUGUAAGUUCAGGGAAAAAAAAGCCUCAGAUUGUUCAUGGUUUGAUGCAUCCUAAGUUGGAUAAUUUUAGGGUUCAAAUAUUAUGUAUCAAUUUUUAACAUUUGGUAUUGCAUUCUUCAUAAAUCUAAUGCUAACUUCAACCCAAAUGUAUUUUUCCCCCCUUUUAAUAAAAUUUGAUAUUGAUGCGGACCUGUGUCUAAUAGAACUGAAUGGAUACAUUUAGCCAACCCUAUUAGUUUGGAUUAAGGCUUAGUUGCUGUUGUUGUCGUCGUCCCUUUUUAAUAAAAUUCUGUCAUUAAAAUCUACUGGUUGGGAUAAUUCUGUAGUUCCAUUAUUGGAAUCACAUAAUCAUGUUCAGAAGUUUGGAUGAGCUGUAGUUACCAAGAAGGAGUGGAAAAAGAAAGGAAAAUAUAAUAUGGUGUACUUAUCAUAUAAAAGGUUCAUGAGGAAACUGUAAUUGCUUCUUCACUGGGUUUGAGGGAAUGUGAAAGCUUUUAUUGUGGUUGUUGUUGUUGUUGUCAUUAUUAACUUUUUGGUAAAAGCAACCUAGGUAAACUAAUUUUGGAUGGUUUUGACAUUCUCAGGAGCAAAGUUUUGAUAUAGAGAGAUCAGGACAAGAGACUCUUCUAUACAAUUCUUGGUCACUUGAGUUUGAAGAACAUGCAAAAACAAGGUGGUCUUGACUGAUGUGAAAAUACAAAUGUAAAUGCACUGAAAACUACAAUUUUGUUAUAUUGCUGUUGGGAUUUCUAAUUUGAUUUUGUAAAUGUGGUUUGAUUUAAAAAUGAAAUUUUGCUUUACUUCUACUUGAGAAUUCUAACUCAAGUUUGUAACAUGAAAUGUGUGGUUUGAUUCGAUAUUUUGAUCUUUGGUUUUGAUCAAAUGGAUACAAAUGUCUAUGAUGAACUUGCUUUCUUUAGCUGAUAUAAUUUUUGUUAGUCAUGAUUUUCCAGCCACAUCCUGGUUUUGAUUACUUUUGACAACUCUUAUCAUCUGUAUGAGAAUCUGAGAAAACUCUAUGCUUCUCUCCAUGUUAUUGCUUGAAACAUUUUGAGUGAUUGUCAACAGGGGCAAUGGCUCCUUAGUAUUCUGCAACAUGAACCGUGGCAUGCAUGUCUAGUGGACUUUGAUUCGGGAUGCAGACAGUGUAACACUGUAAUAUAAUUGGUGAUUUUUUCUUUUACUUUUUGAACAAUGACCAGGUCAAUUCAUGGUAAGCCAUGUGAUUAAGGAUAGACCCGGGAUUGAUUAGAGUUCUUUCUGUUGCGCUAGUACCAAUAAAAUUUAUUGAGGUUGGCAACGCUUAGGGAAUUUCUUGAGGUGUUAUCAAUGGCAAGGAGAGGAGGAACGACUCUGGUUUACU